UUUCUACAGGCUUAACACAUGCAAGUCGAGGGGCAUCAUGUUGUUUUGCUGGCAAAGCAGAGGUGGAGAGCGGCGCACGGGAGAAUAACACGUAUCCCACCUGCCUCAUACUCGGAGAUACUCUUUCAAAGGAAAGAUUAAUAUCCGAUAGCAUAGAUUUCCCGCAUGGGUUUGAUAUUAAAGAAAUUCGGGAUGAAAGGGGGAUGCGUUCCAUUAAUUUGAUGGGGGGGAAACGGCCCACCAAGACUACGAGGGAUAGGGGUCCUGAAAGGAAGGCCCCCCACAUUGAAACUGAAACACGGCCCAAACUCCUACGGAAGGCAGCAGGGAGAAAUAUUGGCCAAGGGACACAAGCCUAAACCACCCAAGAACCGGGAAGAAUGACUGCCCUAUGAGUGGUAAACUUCUUUUAUAUGGAAAUAAAGAGGCCCACGGGGGAAUUUUUGUAGGUACCAUAGAAAUAAGGAUCGGCUAACUCCGGGCCACCACCCGCGGAAAUACGAAGAAUCCAAGCGUAAUCCGAAUUUAUGGGGUUUAAAGGAAGCGAAAGCGGAUUGUUAAGUCAGUUGUGAAAGUUGGCGGCUCACCCGAAAAAUUGCAUUUGAUACGGGCAGCCUGAAGAGCAGUAAAGGAGGCCGAAAUUCGUGGGGAACCGGUGAAAUGCUAAAAUAUAACAAAAAACUCCAAUGGCAAAGGCAGCUCACUGGAGUGUAACCGACGAUGAUGCUAGAAAGUGUGGUUAUCCAACAGGAUUUGAUACCGUAGUAGUCCACACAGUAAACGAUGAAUACUCGUUGUUUGUGAUAUAUAGUAAGCGAACAAGAGACAGCAUUAAGUAUUCCUCGUGAGGAGUACGCCGGCAGCGGUGAUAAUCAAAGGAAUUGACGGGGGGCCGCACAAGCGGAGGAACAUGUGGUUUAAUUUGAUGAUACGCGAGGAUCCUUAGCCGGGCUUAAAUUGCAAAUGAAUUAUGGGGAAAUCCAUAUGCCGCAAGGCAUUUGUGAAGGUGUUGCAUGGUUUUGUUCAGUUGGUGCCGUGAGGUUUGGGUUUAAGUGCCAUAACGAGCGCAACCUUUAUGUUCAGUUAUUACCAGGCUAUGUUGAGGACUUUUGAGAGACUGCAUUGUUAAGAUGUGAGGAAGGUGGGGAGGAGGUCAAAUCACCACGGCCCUUACUUCCGGGGUUCCCCACGUGUUCCAAUGGGGGGUACAGAAGGCCGCUACCUGGCGACAGGAUGCCAAUCCCAAAAACCUCUCUCAGUUCGGAUUGAAGUCUGCAACCCGACUUCGUGAAGCUGGAUUCGCUAGUAAUCGCGCAUCAGCCAUGGCGCGGUGAAUACGUUCCCGGGCCUUGUACACACCGCCCGUCAAGCCAUGAAAGCCGGGGGUACCUGAAGUACGUAACCGCAAGGAGCGUCCUAGGGUAAAACUGGUAAUUGGGGCUAAGU
rnacentral:rRNA from 1 species